CUGCUCAGUAACACGUGGAUAACCUACCCUCAGAUCUGGGAUAACUCCGGGAAACUGGAGAUAAUACCGGAUAAUCCGUGAACGCUGGAAUGCCUUACGGUUGAAAGCUUUAGCGUCUGAGGAUGGGUCUGCGGCCGAUUAGGUAGUUGCUGGGGUAACGUCCCAACAAGCCGAUAAUCGGUACGGGUUGUGAGAGCAAGAGCCCGGAGAUGGAUUCUGAGACACGAAUCCAGGUCCUACGGGGCGCAGCAGGCGCGAAAACUUUACACUGCGCGAAAGCGCGAUAAGGGGACCUCGAGUGCGUGCGCAAAGCGUACGCUUUUCAGAUGCCUAAAAAGCAUCUGGAAUAAGGGCCGGGCAAGACCGGUGCCAGCCGCCGCGGUAACACCGGCGGCUCAAGUGGUGGCCGCUAUUAUUGGGCUUAAAGGGUCCGUAGCCGGACCAGUUAGUCCCUUGGGAAAUCUUACGGCUUAACCGUAAGGCUGCCAAUGGAUACUGCUGGUCUUGGGACCGGGAGAGGUAAGAGGUACCUCAGGGGUAGGAGUGAAAUCCUGUAAUCCUUGAGGGACCGCCAGUGGCGAAGGCGUCUUGCUAGAACGGGUCCGACGGUGAGGGACGAAAGCUAGGGGCACGAACCGGAUU
rnacentral:rRNA from 1 species